CAGAGAGAGUCCACGUUAUUUAGAAAGAGAAGUCACACACAAAAACAAAACCACUGUGAAGCUGAAAAGAAAUCAAAGAAGAAUCCAAAUCCAAACCGAACCCGAAUAUUAACAUCCUCAAUUCCUCAUCCCAAACAAACACAUCAAAAUCACAACACUUGUUCCUUUUGACCUCUUUCAUAAUACACCCCCUUCCACCCUCCAUUUUCUCCUUCCCAAUUCAUAAUGGAUUUAACCAUAACCCCAAUUCAAAUUCAAACCUAUCAUCAAAACAUUCAAAACCACAACUACAACAACUCAAACACAGAAAAAAACCACCUCGUUUGAAAUUGAAAUGUCCCCACCGUUACAACCACUAACAAAUCUCAAUCUCCCUUCCUUACCUGAUCUUUUACUAACUGCACUCUCCGUUUGCUUCCUUUUCACCUCCUCAAGAUCUCACAACACCCCCACAACAACAAACUGUCCUUUCCUCUCUUUCCCUCUCAAACCACGUCGUUUCCUCAAAAUCCCCGCCAUGUCCAACAACAUAUCCACCUCAUCGUUAUCAUCAUCCUCCUCCUCAAACCCUAACAGAAAUAACCGUCGCAAUUUCGUAUCUCCGCAAUCUCUUUCUGAAUGGCUUAAACCUCGUUUACCUUCAGAUUCCUUCGCCACGUGGGGUGUUAAGCCCGGAACGAAGAACGUUCACAAUCUUUGGCUUGAACUAUCUCAGGGAGAAACCUCGCUUGAUGAUUCCGAACCUCCAGUUCGAACCGUUCAGGUUGUUACGGUUCGGGUUGUGGGGAAAGACGGUAAAAUUCUUGUGGAAUCGCAUCAGGAAUUGUCUGAUGGGAAAGUGAGGGAACGGGGUAGGCCGUUGUCGGAGAAGAUGAAGCCGAAUGAGGAUCCGGAAUCUGCUGCUGUUAGAGGGAUUAAGGAAGAGCUUGGGUCUGUGAUUAACGGGGAAACAGAGAUUUGUGAUAUUGUGAUGAUUGAUCCGAAUUCGUAUGAGAUGAGAGUGGAGGAGAGGAAUUCAGGGUCUUAUCCUGGUUUACCUGGUUGUUAUGUUUUGCAUAUUUUGAGUGCUACAGUGGAGGGUUUGCCGGAGGGUGAUUUUUGCACGUAUGAGGUGGACGAGUAUGAUGAUUCUGAUGAUAAGAAAGUUGCACAUCAAGCUGUUUCUGUUAAGAAACAUUUUUGGAAAUGGGAGGUCUACUACCAAUACUCCUCCCUAAAGUCUUACCUUGUCCUCAAGGUGAAAUCCGGGAAACGGCUGAUAAAUCAGGUAAAUCAUUGAAGCUGAAUUGCUGCGAUUGUGAACUGCCUUGACUUCUUGUGGCUCCACCUGAAACUCCAACCUUUGUGAUUUGGAAUUAUCCUCUGCUAUCAAUUGCCACCGCCAAAUUAACUUAAUUGAUAGCAUUAAUGUCUUAAUUGUUAGAUUAAUACAAUGACUGAGAUUUGGCUGAAGAGUUAUAGAACUAUAGGCAAGAGAUUGAGUUUCCUUCAUGUCGUUGAAGACCAAUGCACCCUUUAGCAGGGGAUCCUUUAUUCUUUGUUCCAUUUUUAUAUCAUGGAUUUUUUUUUUUUGACUUGUUGUUUUUAUUUUCAUUGUUGUUCCCCUAUAUGGAUUAAGAUUAAUGAAAAUGGAAGAAUCUCAGCAAUUGGUGAGAGACCUAGUGUUGAGCCACUUGUCUUCCA